GCUGGGUAGGGUUGCUAAGGGAGGGCGAGGUGGGCAUGGGGGGGCUGAUCUUCGGUGGUCAGUUGUGUUCCCGGAAUCUAAACUGAGCAGAUUAUUCCCCAAAACUCUCGUGUUAGGAGUCGGGGAGAACAGCACAGAGGGGACUAGAGUUUAAAAUGGAGGCGCCCCUGUUUAUAUCAUUUGGUAGGAAUGAUGAGGCUGUGGUUUCUCGCAUGUGCAAUUCCAUUGCUCAGCUGAUCUCACAAGAGGCGGAGCUCAGGCAGUGAGGCCAGCAUGGGGGCAAAUGGCUGUAAAAACAGAUGGAGCCUGUGGGGCUCGGUUCCGGGAAGGCAGUUGGGAAACUCCUGAUGUAGAAGAGACACUACAGGAAGACAAAGCCACAAUGCCAUCUGUCCUGGCAUGAUGCCACCAAGAGGGGCUUGCCAGAGCCAGUGCCAUGCUGUUUGGACUUUGGGUCUCCACGCUGUGAAGCAGCCAGCCGAACCACUGAACUAAAUCCUCAGCUGGGUCUCCACAAC
rnacentral:lncRNA from 1 species